AGAGUUUGAUCCUGGCUCAGGAUGAACGCUAGCUACAGGCAUAACACAUGCAAGUCGAGGGGCAGCAUGGUCUUAGCUUGCUAAGGCCGAUGGCGACCGGCGCACGGGUGAGUAACACGUAUCCAACCUGCCGUCUACUCUUGGACAGCCUUCUGAAAGGAAGAUUAAUACAAGAUGGCAUCAUGAGUCCGCAUGUUCACAUGAUUAAAGGUAUUCCGGUAGACGAUGGGGAUGCGUUCCAUUAGAUAGUAGGCGGGGUAACGGCCCACCUAGUCUUCGAUGGAUAGGGGUUCUGAGAGGAAGGUCCCCCACAUUGGAACUGAGACACGGUCCAAACUCCUACGGGAGGCAGCAGUGAGGAAUAUUGGUCAAUGGGCGAGAGCCUGAACCAGCCAAGUAGCGUGAAGGAUGACUGCCCUAUGGGUUGUAAACUUCUUUUAUAAAGGAAUAAGGUCGGGUAUGCAUACCCGUUUGCAUGUACUUUAUGAAUAAGGAUCGGCUAACUCCGUGCCAGCAGCCGCGGUAAUACGGAGGAUCCGAGCGUUAUCCGGAUUUAUUGGGUUUAAAGGGAGCGUAGAUGGAUGUUUAAGUCAGUUGUGAAAGUUUGCGGCUCAACCGUAAAAUUGCAGUUGAUACUGGAUAUCUUGAGUGCAGUUGAGGCAGGCGGAAUUCGUGGUGUAGCGGUGAAAUGCUUAGAUAUCACGAAGAACUCCGAUUGCGAAGGCAGCCUGCUAAGCUGCAACUGACAUUGAGGCUCGAAAGUGUGGGUAUCAAACAGGAUUAGAUACCCUGGUAGUCCACACGGUAAACGAUGAAUACUCGCUGUUUGCGAUAUACAGCAAGCGGCCAAGCGAAAGCGUUAAGUAUUCCACCUGGGGAGUACGCCGGCAACGGUGAAACUCAAAGGAAUUGACGGGGGCCCGCACAAGCGGAGGAACAUGUGGUUUAAUUCGAUGAUACGCGAGGAACCUUACCCGGGCUUAAAUUGCAGAUGAAUUACGGUGAAAGCCGUAAGCCGCAAGGCAUCUGUGAAGGUGCUGCAUGGUUGUCGUCAGCUCGUGCCGUGAGGUGUCGGCUUAAGUGCCAUAACGAGCGCAACCCUUGUUGUCAGUUACUAACAGGUCAUGCUGAGGACUCUGACAAGACUGCCAUCGUAAGAUGUGAGGAAGGUGGGGAUGACGUCAAAUCAGCACGGCCCUUACGUCCGGGGCUACACACGUGUUACAAUGGGGGGUACAGAGGGCCGCUACCACGCGAGUGGAUGCCAAUCCCAAAAACCUCUCUCAGUUCGGACUGGAGUCUGCAACCCGACUCCACGAAGCUGGAUUCGCUAGUAAUCGCGCAUCAGCCACGGCGCGGUGAAUACGUUCCCGGGCCUUGUACACACCGCCCGUCAAGCCAUGGGAGCCGGGGGUACCUGAAGUGCGUAACCGCGAGGAGCGCCCUAGGGUAAAACUGGUGACUGGGGCUAAGUCGUAACAAGGUA
rnacentral:rRNA from 1 species